UCCGUGGUACUUAUUUUAUAUCCUGUAAAAUCAUUAAGUACAUGUACUGCAAGCAACAUAAAAUAAUAAAAAUGGGUAAAAAGUCUGCACGUGUACACUAUCAUCUUACGGCUGAUUACAGGCCUAAACAGGAGAUUCCGCCAUUGAUGAAACUGUUUAUGGAUGAACGAAAGCGAGAGAAACGGUCACGUUCUAGACCGGAUGUGCCGUCGGCCGACUCGUCGUCAUACACAUCACUUCUGUCGCCUUUAGACGACCCAUUUGCAUCGGUGUCCAAAGGUCUGUUCCUGCCAGGCUACGAAUCGGAUCCUUACUUAGUAGCGUUAAAAAAGGCAUUGUCAACGGCGUCGAAAACGACAAGGGCUUCCAGGAAUCUGUCAACAGUGUCUUCUCCUGGAGAUGACUGGACAACUAUGACAUCGUCUUCGUCAAUGACAGGACAAUUAUCAUGGAUAUCUCUGUCGAAAGAUUCUUUGAGACGUUCGCCUGCACAAACGGCAAGAUGCUCCAGUUUGGCGAAUUCAAGGGUGACAUAUCUGAACCCCUCGGUGGAGGAAUGUAUUCAAAGUAUCUGGUACGGAGAGGAACGGCCAACACGAGCGUCGGACACGCCCAAAGAGAGGAGUCUAGAAAGUUUCAAAGAACUCUUCAAAAAAGAAUAUUUCUUCCCAACUGGAGAUGUAGGGGAUCUUAUUCAAAUGCAAAAAUGCGAAUCGCCCAAGAUCUAUUUUAGGCCACAGGACGUUCGGCCAUGGUUAGUAAAAGCAGUGUGCUGUAUCUAGUUGGAAAAGAAAGCACGUCACCUUCGUAACAACAGGGCCCACAGAAUCUAUUCAACAAAAGUGGCCAGGACUUCGGCCUUCUUACGUAAAUUAAUCAAGGACAGUGAAUCUAAAGCGAAACCCACGCAGUGUCUGCCAUCCAAACCGUCUCAAGGUCAAGGUCGACCACGUCUGAGACUGAAAGAUGUUCUACAAGUGACUCAGGAAACUGCCAGGGAAAUGCACCCACGAGUCAAACGACCGUUCCACAAGCGAAAAUCCAAGUCGCAUGAUGUUUGUAUAUGCACAUAGCACGCUUACCAAAGAUGAUCAUAGCCGUGUCCUGAACAAUUUCACUGGUUGUGUUCUCAAAUCGAAUACUUCUAGAAAUACCUUCCAUAUAUACCGUAAAUCCUUAAAAUAAAAGCUUAGGAUUCUGUUAUUUUUUGUGUCGCUCCAAGACAAGCCCUAUUUUCAAGGCAGGUUUCUAUGUUUUUCGCGUCGCUCCAAGACCAGGACCCAUAUUCACAAAAUAUCGUAAGCCUAGUUUUACACGUAAACGUAAAUCUACGACUGAAGAGCUAUUCACGAAACAACGUAAACGUAAGUUACGUGUAAAGUUGGACGUAAAUAUG